GAGGGAGGAAGAAAAUUAGAAGUAGAUUGAAGAAUCAGUCAUCAGUAGGGAUCAAUAGGCAAACCCCAGAGUAAAUCCCAGAGCAGUGUCCCCUGUGUACCAGCAUCUCUGUGUGUGUGCCAUCCCUCCAUUACAAAUAAGCAGGUUCAGGUUCCCUCAGCAUUUCUCUGUUCUGCCUCCAUUAUCAUUAAGCAGACUCAGGUCCCUGUAGCAGCCUCUCUAGUCACAGCCAGCCAGAAAAACAACAGUCAUUGUGAAGUAACAGUUUACCCUCAGUUUACCCUUUCUAUUUCAAUCAGUAGUAGUUUCCCCUCAGUUCACAUAUUUUAUUACACCUCCCAGGCAGAGCCCUCUAGAGAAAUGGAGUUGGAUCUGACUAGAGCUGAAGGACUCUUUUGAGAAGUGACACUGUGACCAUCAGAGUACUGUGCAUUCAUACACAUGCCUCAAGACUGCCCAUGAGGUUGGCAAAGAAGAUGGCCAAAUUAUGAAAGAGAACAGAUGAAAUGACACAGAGCUUUUUAUAAGCAAGAUGAAGAGCUGAGUGAUGGGCAACAUUUCUGCCUAAGAAACUCUGAGAAAAACAUUUGCACAAGGAUGGAAAAACAGCCUGACAGUAGCAAAGAAAAUUCUGAAGUUGCUUCAGACUCCUUUGACCAUGUGUCCACAUGAUGGAAAACAACUGGGUUGGGAAGGGUGAAUGUGUAACCCUUUGUUCUUAGGGUUCAUGAGGUCUAAUGAGCCAAAGGGUGGGAAAUUGUCUGUUUUGAAAGGUAGAUGCUGUGGGUUUGUAUGGCAUAUAAUUUGACAUGAUAUGCAUACACACAUAAAAUUGGCAUUUACAUAGUC